rnacentral:rRNA from 1 species
CAGAGGGGGCAAGCGUUAUUCGGAAUUAUUGGGCGUAAAGGGCGCGUAGGCGGCUUUUCAAGUGACGGGUGAAAUCCCUCGGCUUAACCGAGGAACUGCCUGUCAGACUGGAAGGCUUGAGACCGGGAGAGGUGAGUGGAAUUCCCAGUGUAGCGGUGAAAUGCGUAGAUAUUGGGAGGAACACCAGUGGCGAAGGCGGCUCACUGGACCGGAACUGACGCUGAGGCGCGAAAGCGUGGGAAGCAAACAGGAUUAGAUACCCUGGUAGUCCACGCCGUAAACGAUGAGUGCUUGGUGUAGCGGGUAUCGACCCCUGCUGUGCCGAAGUCAACACAUUAAGCACUCCGCCUGGGGAGUACGGUCGCAAGACUG